UAAAUUUUGAAUUCCGCAAUAUAGCACCUGCCGCUUUUAUUUUCUACUCACCUACCCAGAGGUUUUCUUCAUUCUACACAAAUACAGAGAUCAGAGAUCGAUACAGAAAUAGAGCGGGUCAACAUCUUCCUGUUAGUCAAAAACCACCGCCAUCACAAUUUUGGGGGUCAUAAUAUUUUCAAAACCAUUCAUCUCUCUCUCUCUCACCUCAAAGAUACAAAUCGAGAUCUAGGAGGCAAUCAGAAUAACAAUCUGAUUCAGUUGCUAGCUGAUUCGUCUGAUUCUUUCUCAUCAGAUCAGUGUUUCAAAUUUAGCCCUUGUUGGUGCAUUUAUGACUAAACCGGAAGCUGGGUCACCUGUCACCAAGUCUGAUUACAAUAGGCGGAAAUUAUCAACAGAUCCCUUCAUAGAAAGGAAAAUGGAGUUUUUGAUUGAAAGCAUGGAUGAUCUCUCAAUGGAACAUAUAUGUUUGUUCUAUUUUUUCUAUCACAGUCUGUCACGUCAACAAGCCUAGCAACAAACAUGGCUUCAAAAGUGAAGGUACCUGCAUUUGAUGUUUGAUAAUGUUACUGUGGAUACUUACAGCUAAGAAUUGGAUCUUUAAGCACAUGUGGAAUGCAUUCUUAUGAUCUUAAUUCACCUUUUACGUGGAUCACCUAUUUAUUAUUGUUUGGCUUCUUGUAUAUGUUUAAUAGGGCUGAAAUAAUGGCCCAUGUUAAGCAUAAAAGUUGGGGGUAUUGGUACUAGAGAUAUUAGAAGUGCUAAUCUUACGUUGCUAGCAAAUUGGAUGUGGAAACUUAAAGACAGGCCUAUGACUUCAUGGGUUAAGGUGGUGGUUCCGAUCAAUGGUAGUUCAAGAGUGGUUGGGCAAUUCCCCCUGAAAGAACGGUAUUUGUGAGAUGUGGAAAGACAUCUGCUCUGUUGAGAAAGAGUUUUAUGCUUUGAGCCUUCCAAUUGGCGACGGGGGUAAAACUAUGUUUUGGAUGGAUAACUGGGUUGAGGGCGGUCCCUUGUGGAGGAGAUUCCCGGCGGUUAAUAAAGAGGUUGUGGUUUCUUAGUGCAGAACGAUAUUGGGCGAGGGAUGGGUCUGGUCUUAGGAAUGGAAAACGAGUUCAGGUUCCGAAGCCUUCUGGUCACAGUUUGACACACUAGCAGCUUGUCUUGGGGCUGUGCAGUGUGUACAAGGUGUACAAGUGUGUUUUAAUAGUGAUUAUAUGACUAAAAAUAAUCAUCUGUAAUAGACGGGGUGCAACAUAUAGUGUUUGAAUAGCUUUUGUUGUUUAAAGUAAUAAUUCGUAAUUAGUAAUGUUUAAAAAAAGGUGAUCAUUUGUUGAAAA